rnacentral:lncRNA from 1 species
AUUUGAAAGAAAGAAAUUUUAUGAAUUUUUUUAAUCGAUACGAAUUUUUCUUAUGGAACCUUCUAUAGUAGAGGUAAUCAACCUUAAUAAGCUUACAUUUAUUCAUUUUUUAUAAACUAAAAAAACUUAAAUCGAUUAUUUAAAUUCCACGAAACAUGACACGUAAAUUUUCGCAAAGAAAAAUAAUGAUAUAGAGAAUCUUAAUAAAUCCGGAACUAAGCAAAACGGAAACGGUCAAUGAAAAGAUCCUUGUACUCAAAUUUAAAUUCUGAAAAUUAUUCACGAAACUUGCAUCCAAGAAAAAAUUAUGGUCACAAACACUUAAACUCUGCGUGGGAAACCGCGUUAUUAAACUUUUUGAGGCCGUCACGACUGUUAAAACUAACAAAUUCCGUUUGGUUAUUUGAUUCUUAUCUAAUACGAAGCUACUAUUUACUUCCAAU